UGGGGAAUAUUGGACAAUGGGCGGAAGCCUGAUCCAGCAACGCCGCGUGAGGGAUGACGGCCUUCGGUUGUAAACCUCUUUCACCGAUGACGAAGCGCGAGUGACGGUAGUCGGAGAAGAAGCACCGGCCAACUACGUGCCAGCAGCCGCGGUAAUACGUAGGGUGCGAGCGUUGUCCGGAAUUAUUGGGCGUAAAGGGCUCGUAGGCGGUUUGUCGCGUCGGGAGUGAAAACCCAGGGCUUAACCCUGGGCUGGCUUUCGAUACGGGCAGACUAGAGGUAUGCAGGGGAGAACGGAAUUCCUGGUGUAGCGGUGAAAUGCGCAGAUAUCAGGAGGAACACCGGUGGCGAAGGCGGUUCUCUGGGCAUUACCUGACGCUGAGGAGCGAAAGUGUGGGGAGCGAACAGGAUUAGAUACCCUGGUAGUCCACACCGUAAACGUUGGGCGCUAGGUGUGGGGUCCAUUCCACGGAUUCCGUGCCGCAGCUAACGCAUUAAGCGCCCGCCU
rnacentral:rRNA from 1 species